rnacentral:rRNA from 1 species
CGUGUAGGCGGCCAAGCAAGUCAGAGGUGAAAGCCCUGGGCUCAACCUGGGAACUGCCUUUGAAACUGUUUGGCUUGAGACCGGAAGAGGAUGGCGGAAUUCCCAGUGUAGAGGUGAAAUUCGUAGGUAUUGGGAAGAACACCGGUGGCGAAGGCGGCCAUCUGGUCCGGUUCUGACGCUGAGGCGCGAAAGCGUGGGGAGCAAACA